rnacentral:rRNA from 1 species
CCUGAGAAACCCAAAAGAUCGAAUGGGGAGAUUCAUCGUCAGCACGUUUGGUAUAUGUGCAAGUUAUGAUGCGAGUUAUCAUUUAUGAUAAUGCUUGUACGUGCUUGUAUUAUUUUGUCGCUAAACGUUGUCGUCGUGCACUUCUCCCCUAGUAGGACGUCGCGACCCGUUGGGUGUCGGUCUAUGGCCCGGAUGGUAGUCUUUAAUUAUUUUAAUUGAAGACCGCCGGUUGACCUGAUCGGCUGCUCGGCGGUAUUCGCACGGUCGUUGCAAGCGAGGCCAGUAAUUUAAACUCGGUAGUGCGGAUUUAAUGCCGUCGCUGGGGCUGGCCAGCUGUUGGUUAACGGUGUUCUUUGACUGGCUCAAAAUAAUUACCGGUCGGCGACGCUACUGCUUUGGGUACUUUCAGGACCCGUCUUGAAACACGGACCAAGGAGUCUAACAUGUGCGCGAGUCAUUGGGAUUUAUUUUUUAAAUUAAACCUAAAGGCGCAAUGAAAGUAAAGGUCGUCCUUGUGUCGACUGAGGGAGGAUGAGUUGCAUUAUGAUGUCAGCUCCGCACUCCCGGGGCGUCUCAUUCUCAUUUUUGAGGAGAGGCGCACCCAG